UACGUAGGGGGCAAGCGUUGUCCGGAUUUAUUGGGCGUAAAGGGCGCGUAGGCGGCAAUUCAAGUCAGCUGUGAAAUCUCUGGGCUUAACCCAGAACGGCCAGCUGAUACUGCUUUGCUAGAGUGCAGAAGGGGCAAUCGGAAUUCUUGGUGUAGCGGUGAAAUGCGUAGAUAUCAAGAGGAACACCUGAGGUGAAGACGGGUUGCUGGGCUGACACUGACGCUGAGGCGCGAAAGCCAGGGGAGCAAACGGG
rnacentral:rRNA from 1 species